ACCUCUUGACAAGCGUGGAUCUUCGGACCACGUGCCAAAGGAUGAGCCCAUGUCUGAUUAGCUAGUUGGUGAGGUAACGGCUCACCAAGGCGACGAUCAGUAGCCGGCCUGAGAGGGUGUACGGCCACACUGGGACUGAGACACGGCCNNGACUCCUACGGGAGGCAGCAGUGGGGAAUAUUGGACAAUGGGGGCAACCCUGAUCCAGCAAUGCCGCGUGUGUGAAGAAGGCCUGCGGGUUGUAAAGCACUUUUGUUGAGGAAGAAUGUGUUUGGGUUAAUAGUCCAAAUGCUUGACGUUACUCAAAGAAAAAGCACCGGCUAACUCUG
rnacentral:rRNA from 1 species